UAAACCUGUACAUCCUGCACAUGUACCGCUGAACUUAAAAUAAAAGUUAGAAAAAAAAAAACAAAAACAAAGAAUUUGAGCCUAGGUCACUUGUUCCCUUUCCCUGCCUCAGUGAAAUCAUGAGUUGAGAUACAGCUUCUACCAGCCUGGGUCCCCAGGAUCCAAAUCAGGAUACCACCUUAAAUUUAACAUAAUGCCCUUAAAAAUGAAAAAGUCCGCAAGCCAUGUUAUCAUCUGGAUUUCAACAAAGAAAAGUGACUCCAGCAUGCAGAGUGGGAUCAACUUGCUCUACCAACUCUGGAUCUUCUGUCAUCUGGAAAUGACGGGGAUCUUGUACUCACGGGCAAUGCCUGCCUACUAUUAUCUUUGGAAUCAGCAUGUGAGGCCCCCUACAGGUGAGAACCAUACAACUGUACAACCCCACAUGUUCUCUUAAGCUCCCAUACUACCCCUUGUAGCAGGAACCAAGGAAAGGGAAACUCCAUCUGCACUCACGGCUCACAACUUUAUGUUUGAACCUCUUCUCCAACUGAUUCCUUGAACCCUGUUCU
rnacentral:lncRNA from 1 species